GACGUAGGGCGCGAGCGUUGUCCGGAUUUAUUGGGCGUAAAGAGCUCGUAGGCGGCUUGUCGCGUCGAAUGUGAAAUCUCAGGGCUCAACUCUGACAUUGCAUUCGAUACGGGCAGGCUAGAGUUCGGUAGGGGAGACUGGAAUUCCUGGUGUAGCGGUGAAAUGCGCAGAUAUCAGGAGGAACACCGGUGGCGAAGGCGGAUCUCUGGGCCAUAACUGACGCUGAGGAGCGAAAGCAUGGGGAGCGAACAGGA
rnacentral:rRNA from 1 species